AGAGUUUGAUCAUGGCUCAGAAUGAGCGCUGGCGGCGUGCCUAACACAUGCAAGUCGAGCGAGAAAGGCCUUCGGGCUGAGUAGAGCGGCGAACGGGUGAGUAAAGCGUGAGAAUCUACCCUUCAGUGAGGAAUACCUUCGGGAAACCGAAGUUAAUACUGCAUACGUCCCUUCGGGGAGAAAGAUGGCCUCUUUGCUGUCGCUGAUUGAUGAGCUUACGUACUAUUAGCUAGUUGGUAGGGUAAAGGCCUACCAAGGCGAUGAUGGUUAGCCGGCCUGAGAGGGUGUACGGCCACACUGGAACUUAGACACGGUCCAGACUCCUACGGGAGGCAGCAGUGAGGAAUCUUGCACAAUGGGCGAAAGCCUGAUGCAGCGACGCCGCGUGGAGGAUGAAGGUCUUCGGAUUGUAAACUUCUGUUAAGUGGGAAGAAAGACGCAGUUCUAAUAAAAUUGCGGGAUGACGGUACCAUUAGAGAAAGCACCGGCUAACGUCGUGCCAGCAGCCGCGGUAAUACGAAGGGCGCAAGCGUUAUUCGGAAUGAUUGGGCGUAAAGGGUGCGCGGACGGUCAAUUAAGUCAACUGUUAAAUUUCUCAGCCUAACUGGGAGCUCGCAGUAGAAACUGGUUGACUAGAGGAUGGAAGAGAGAAGUGGAAUUCUCGGAGUAGCGGUAAAAUGCGUAGAUCUCGAGAGGAACACCGAUGGCGAAGGCAGCUUCUUGGUCCAUUCCUGACGUUCAGGCACGAAAGCGUGGGGAGCAAACAGGAUUAGAUACCCUGGUAGUCCACGCCGUAAACGAUGAUCACUAGACGUUAAUCGAGCUUGCUCGGUUAGUGUCGUAGCUAACGCGUUAAGCGAUUCGCCUGGGAAGUACGGUCGCAAGAUUAAAACUCAAAGGAAUUGACGGGGGUCCGCACAAGCGGUGGAACAUGUGGUUUAAUUCGACACUACGCGAGGAACCUUACCUAGGCUUGACAUAUUUUUGACAUCCGUGGAAACACGGCUUUCUAUGCGAAAGCAUAGACAAUUUUACAGGUGCUGCAUGGCUGUCGUCAGCUCGUGUCGUGAGAUGUUGGGUUAAGUCCUUUAACGAGCGCAACUCCUGCCGUUAGUUGCUACUUCGUAAGAAGGCACUCUAUCGGGACUGCCUGGGAAACCAGGAGGAAGGUGGGAAUGAUGUCAAGUCCGCAUGGCCCUUAUGCCUAGGGCAACACACGUGUUACAAUGGUUGGUACAAAGAGUCGCAAGCUUGUAAAAGUAGGCUAAUCUCAUAAAGCCAAUCUAAGUUCGGAUUGAGGUCUGCAACUCGACCUCAUGAAGUUGAAAUCGCUAGUAAUCGCAUAUCAGAACGAUGCGGUGAAUACGUUCUCGGACCUUGUACACACCGCCCGUCAAGCCAUGAAAGUUUUUUGCACCCAAAGUCGUUUUAGCUAACUCGUAAGAGAGGCGGGCGCCAAAGGUGUGGGAAAUGAUUGGGGCUAAGUCGUAACAAGGUA
rnacentral:rRNA from 1 species